rnacentral:rRNA from 1 species
CCUACGGGUGGCAGCAGUCGAGAAUCAUUCACAAUGGGGGAAACCCUGAUGGUGCGAUGCCGCGUGGGGGAAUGAAGGUCUUCGGAUUGUAAACCCCUGUCAUGUGGGAGCAAAUUAAAAAGAUAGUACCACAAGAGGAAGAGACGGCUAACUCUGUGCCAGCGGCCGCGGUAAUACAGAGGUCUCAAGCGUUGUUCGGAAGCACUGGGCGUAAGGCGUGCGUAGGCGGUUUCGUAAGUCGUGUGUGAAAGGCGCGGGCUCAACCCGCGGACGGCACAUGAUACUGCGAGACUAGAGUAAUGGAGGGGGAACCGGAAUUCGCGGUGUAGCAGUGAAAUGCGUAGAUAUCGAGAAGAACACUCGUGGCGAAGGCAGGUUCCUGGACAUUAACUGACGCUGAGGCACGAAGGCCAGGGGAGCGAAAGGGAUUAGAUACCCCUGUAGUC